rfam:Hordeum vulgare subsp. vulgare, WGS project CAJW01000000 data, contig: morex_contig_1561145
GUUAUACUCCCUGCGUCCCAAAAUUCUUUUCUUAAAUUUGUCUAGAUAUGAAUGUAUAUAGUCACAUUUUAGUAUUUAGAUACAUCUAUUUCUAGACCAAUGUAAGACAAUAAUUUUAGGACGGAGGGAGUAGUUA